GAUGAACGCUGGCGGCGUGCCUAAUACAUGCAAGUCGAGCGAACGGACGAUAAGCUUGCUUCUCUGAUGUUAGCGGCGGACGGGUUAGUAACACGUGGAUAACCUACCUAUAAUACUGUGAUAACUUCGGGAAACCGUAGCUAAUACCUGAUAAUAUUUUUAACCGCAUGGUUAAAAAGUGAAAGACGGUCUUGCUGUCACUUAUCGAUGUAUCCGCGCUGCAUUAGCUAGUUGGUAAGGUAACGGCGUACCAAGGCAACGAUGCAUAGCCGACCUGAGAGGGUGAUAGGCCACACUGGAACUGAGACACGGUCCAGACUCCUACGGGAGGCAGCAGGAGGGAAUCUACCGCAAUGGGCGAAAGCCUGAAGGAGCAACGCAGCGUGAGUGAUGGAGGGAUUCGGAUCGUAAAACUGUGUUAUUAGGGAAGAACAUAUGUGUAAGUAACUGUGCACAUCUUGACGGUACCUAAUCAGAAAGCCACGGCUAACUACGUG
rnacentral:rRNA from 1 species